GACGAACGCUGGCGGCGUGCUUAACACAUGCAAGUCGAACGGAAAGGCCCUGCUUUUGUGGGGUGCUCGAGUGGCGAACGGGUGAGUAACGCGUGAGUAACCUGCCCUUGACUUUGGGAUAACUUCAGGAAACUGGGGCUAAUACCGGAUAGGAGCUCCUGCUGCAUGGUGGGGGUUGGAAAGUUUCGGCGGUUGGGGAUGGACUCGCGGCUUAUCAGCUUGUUGGUGGGGUAGUGGCUUACCAAGGCUUUGACGGGUAGCCGGCCUGAGAGGGUGACCGGCCACAUUGGGAAUGAGAUAAGGCCCAGACUCCUACGGGAGGCAGCAGUGGGGAAUAUUGCACAAUGGGCGGAAGCCUGAUGCAGCAACGCCGCGUGCGGGAUGACGGCCUUCGGGUUGUAAACCGCUUUCGCCUGUGACGAAGCGUGAGUGACGGUAAUGGGUAAAGAAACACCGGCUAACUACGU
rnacentral:rRNA from 1 species